UACUCCGCCGGCGACCGGCGCACGGGUGCGUAACGCGUAUGCAACCUACCUUUAACAGGGGCAUAACACUGAGAAAUUGGUACUAAUUCCCCAUAACAUUCGAGAAGGCAUCUUCUUGGGUUAAAAACUCCGGUGGUUAAAGAUGGGCAUGCGUUGUAUUAGCUAGUUGGUGAGGUAACGGCUCACCAGGGCAACGAUACAUAGGGGGACUGAGAGGUUAACCCCCCACAUUGGUACUGAGACACGGACCAA
rnacentral:rRNA from 1 species